UACGGGGGGGGCAAGCGUUGUUCGGAAUUACUGGGCGUAAAGGGCUCGUAGGCGGCCAACUAAGUCAUACGUGAAAUCCCUCGGCUUAACCGGGGAACUGCGUCUGAUACUGGAUGGCUUGAGUUCGGGAGAGGAUGCGGAAUUCCAGGUGUAGCGGUGAAAUGCGUAGAUAUCUGGAGGAACACCGGUGGCGAAGGCGGCAUCCUGGACCGACACUGACGCUGAGGAGCGAAAGCCAGGGGAGCAAACGGG
rnacentral:rRNA from 1 species